AAAUCCGUCGAAUUCAAAAAUCGUGAGGGUUCAAGUCCCUCUAUCCCCA
rnacentral:tRNA from 1 species